GACGAACGCUGGCGGCGUGCUUAACACAUGCAAGUCGAACGGUAAGGCCCUUCGGGGUACACGAGUGGCGAACGGGUGAGUAACACGUGGGUGAUCUGCCCUGCACUUCGGGAUAAGCCUGGGAAACUGGGUCUAAUACCGGCUAGGAGUCCUGGCUUCAUGGUUGGGGGUGGAAAGCUUUUGUGGUGUGGGAUGGGCCCGCGGCCUAUCAGCCUGUUGGUGGGGUAAUGGCCUACCAAGGCGACGACGGGUAGCCGGCCUGAGAGGGUGACCGGUCACACUGGGACUGAGAUACGGCCCAGACUCCUACGGGAGGCAGCAGUGGGGAAUAUUGCACAACGGGCGCAAGCCUGAUGCAGCGACGCCGCGUGAGGGAUGACGGCCUUCGGGUUGUAAACCUCUUUCAGCUAUGACGAAGCGCAAGUGACGGUAGUAGCAGAAGAAGGACCGGCCAACUACGUGCCAGCAGCCGCCGCCG
rnacentral:rRNA from 1 species